rnacentral:rRNA from 1 species
UACGGAGGGUGCAAACGUUGCUCGGAAUCAUUGGGCGUAAAGCGUGCGUAGGCGGUCUGGUAAGUCGGAUGUGAAAGCCCUCGGCUUAACCGAGGAAGUGCAUUCGAAACUGCCAAGCUAGAGUACCAGAGAGGGUGACGGAAUUCCCGGUGUAGAGGUGAAAUUCGUAGAUAUCGGGAGGAACACCUGUGGCGAAGGCGGUCACCUGGAGGGAUACUGACGCUGAGGCACGAAAGCGUGGGGAGCAAACAGG